rnacentral:lncRNA from 1 species
AGAAGUCUGAAAUAAGAGUUAACAUGCGGAAUUUCGAACAAUAGUCCUACUACAUAGCCCAUAUAGAUCUGGUGUCUCAAGUCCGAGCUUCUAGUACAUGAGCAUCAACCUAUUACAUAUCAUUCUAGAGAAAUACGGAAUAAACAAUAAGGUAAAAGGGAGAUAUCAGGGCUGCAGACGCCAUACAACUACCUUGAUGCUCCCGGAUAUGUGCUGCCCAGCUCAGAUGCACCUGGAUCUGCAUGCAAGGUGAAUGGAGUAAUGUGAAUACACUGACCCGGAGAGUAAUAAACAUAAAUAAAGGCUGAGAAAAAAAUCAUGGAUAAACACAUUGUAAUCUAUAAUACAACAGUUCAAACCAAGUAGAACGAAAUCUAUAAACCGUCGAAAUCGAAAUGUGAAAAUGCUACAGCAAAUAAGCAGUUAAAGAACAUGUAUAGUAAGGAAUAACAAACACAUAGAACAACACUCUCUAGUACAUGCUGGGACGUACAGCUCGAUCCAUUUAUUUAUCGUCGACGGCGCUCAUUGGGGUGUACAGAUUUCGGGAGGGGCUCCUUACGGCCCAAGCGCAAUAUCAAGCAAUUACGUGGCAUAAAUUAGGCCCUUGGCAUCAUAUCAUAUCAGUAUAAUACUGCUGCGAUGUGCAGCCCAAUUCCAUGCUGAAUCUGCAAAUUACAUAAGCCUCUCGGGCAAUAGCAAAAUAGUAGUUCUCGGCUCAAAACAUCAUUUAGAAUAUCUUUUAGUUUCAAAAUCAGAGUAAAGAUGGCUAAGUUGUAAAAUAGUAGAAAACGGUACGAUAGAGUUCAAGUAGUAAAUUCAUACAAUGAGGAUAUAGUGAUAAAACCUCCCAAGGGUUCAAGUAGUUGGCAUGGAGCAAAUAUGAUAAGUAGUUCAAAUAAUGACGAUGUCAAAUAAGCUUCGAUCAAUUAUGCGGUAAAAGCAUCACUUGGGACGGACCAUGUCCCAAUCCCCAAUAGCAAAAUAUCUUCGCUCAUGAUCAAGCGCGUGUCUCACCUCAAUAUAGCACUAUGAUGUGCAAAUCCGGGGUUUCAAACCCUCAAGACAUCAUUUACAUAUAUUACUCACCUCAAACCAGCCAAAACUCUAGCUCUCUAUGCCCUUACCUCUCAAAUCGGCCUCCUCGCACGUUGAAUCUAACCAAAACCAGCGCGAAUACAUCACAAUAUGCUAAGGGAACAAAACUCAAUUGAAAACAAUCAAAAAAUAUCAAAAAUCUCGAAAUUAGCUAAAUCGGAGCCUCGGGCCCACUUCUCGAAACCCGCAUUUUUUUACAUGAACGGGUUCCUUGUCUCGCCACGAGUCCAUACAUAUAAAAAACUCUUAAAUCCGCCUCAAAUGACCCUUCAAAUCUCAAUUUAAAAUAUCAAAACCCCAAGCACCAGUUCUUCUAAUUUUAGCUAAAUUUCCAUGAAUUUCUAGGUUAAUUUCACAUUAUAAUCACCUUUUUGGUUAAUAAAACUUACCUCCAAUCAAUCCUCUUCGAAUCCCUCUUCAAUUUUUCCCCAAAAGCUCUCAAAAUACCUAACAAUGGUAGAAAAAUGUCUUAAGCUCACGAAUAAAAUGUUUUUAAACCUUCUGCCCAGCUACAGUGAUUCCAUCUUGAUCGUGUUCGCGAUGCACACAUAUUUCCUUGACAAAAGUACCCUUCCCGAAUGCGUCUAAACCCCCGUGAACGUGAAGCUUCUACUGCCUCAACUACACGAAUGCGACCCCUUGGCCGGUAACGCGAAGAAUAAAACGAACAGGACCCAAGUCCUCUUAUGCAAACGCAAAUAACUCCCCUUGAACGCGAAGCUCAAGGAACUCCCCUCCGCGAACGAGAUCCCCAUAACGCGAACGCGAGGAGAAAAUGACUGGCCUACCAAAAUCCUCCUAUGGGAACACGGCUGCAGACUCGCGAUUGUGAAGGCCAAAUUGGACCUGCACUACUGCUACAAUUUUCUGCAAUUCACCAAGGAUCAAAACUUCUCGUUAGCCAUCCGGAAUCACCCCGAGGCCCCCGGGACCUCAACCAAAACCACCAACACAUCCAAAAACAUUAUCCAAACUUGUUCCAAUAACCGAAACACCUCAAAUAACACCAAAACAUCAAAUUACAUCGAAUUCAAGAAUAAAUUCUUCAAAAACUUCUGAAACAUGCAUUUAAUAAAAAAGCCAACCAAAUUGCCUCCGAAUGACCUAAAAUUAUAAAUACACAUCCAAAAUCACAUAACGAAACUACAGCAACUCUCGAAACUCCAUACCUCGGAUCAAAAUCUCAUCUACAACCGGAAUUCGUCAAAAUACCAACUUUUCCAUUUCAAGCCUAAUUCUACACUGAACUUCUAAAACCACUUCCGAUCACACUUCUAAGUCACAAAUCAUCUCACGAAGCUAACCAAAUCAUCAGAAUUCACAUUCGACCCCUCUAACACAUAAGUCAACAUCCGGUUGACCUUUUCAAACCAACCAUUCCUUAAAGAAACUAAGUGUCUCAAUUCCUACCAAAACCUCUCCAAAUCAACUUGAUCAUAUAAGACAUGGAUAAUGAAGCAUAAAGAAGCAGAAAUAGGGAAAAUGAAGCAGUAAUUCAUGAGCUGAUGGGUCGGGUCAUCACAUAAGUUUGGUCGCUUUUUUUAGACAUCUAGGUAAGAGGAACCAAUGUUGGUUGCUAUUUUCUGGAAAAUUAUUUUUUUAAAUGAAAAGAGACCAAAUAGAGACCAAAGUUGGUCGCUUUUCUGUGUAUUAUUUUCGCAGAAAAUACCUUUUUCGCAGGUACACCACCUGCCAAUCAUACCAAAACCCUAUUACAAUCAACAACAACAAUACCAACAACAACACAACAACAACAACAAAAACAAUACAAAAAUAGCAUUAAAAUAAACAAAGUUUAAAGUUCAAUAGAAACACAAAACUAAGUUAACUCUUAUUACAAGCCUAUCACACCUCAUUUUUUACUGUACACCCCUGCAAAAAGGCGUAAAGGAGUUUUUCCAAAUAAAGGACAAUCGGAAUGGGAUUUAUUUAUUAUUUAUUCAGAGUCGCCACUUGGGAGAUAAAUGGUGUCCCAAGUCACCGGUAGAAUCCCGAACCGAGGAAGCAGAUGAAUCUGUUCACAGUCUACGAACCAGAAAUCUAGAUAAGGAAUUCUGUUAACCCGGGAGAAGGUGUUAGGCAUUCCCGAGUUCCGUGGUUCUAGCACGGUCUCUCAACUGUUGCAUUUAGAUUUUAUCUAAUUUUAUUACAUGAAGAACCUAUGUGCCAAUUUUAUGCUUACCGCUUUUAUUUAGUCAAAUAUUUCUUUAAGAAAGUGAACGUCGUUUAAAAUAUGUUUUCGGAUUGCGCCGCAUAAAAUGAACUACCAAUCCUAGACACACUCUAUUCAACGUUUUAGGAUUUGGAUUUGGGCCGCAUAAAAUGCCUACCCGUAUUUAGGAAGGUUAUUUAUUAAAGCCGCACCUAAUAGAGUCUAGCGCGUUAUUAUCUUUUGGGAGGGUCGUGAAAUUUUCUAAACGACCCUUCCCGGUUUUUUAAAUAUUUUUAAACCUUUAUUGAGGGCCCUAAAAUUUUGUACAUUUCUGGUGCGAGGCUCGUCUAAUUUAUUUUAAAAGGAUAGACCUAGAUAUAACUAUCUUUUCUAUAUUUGAUUUUUUUGUUUCUAAUAAAGAAAGAAAGAUCCUAAUUAAUUAUAUUUAAAAUCCGGGCCUUAAGUUCAAGUCCGGGUCCAAACAAAAGGACGAGCGUUUUAGUUUAAAACCCGCUACCUAACUCAAAACCCGAAUGCAUCAAUAGCGAACUUGUUGCUAUUUAUCAUGAGCCCAAUGAGCCCAAGCAGGACUAUGUGUGCAUGUUGGCCAAAUUUCCAAUAUCCAUAGACAUUGGGCCUGACAUUGGCCCAAAUCAAACAAGCCAAAUUGAAUUGCACUGGGAACAGCUGAUCGAAUCCGGGAGUUGGCAAUCCAACUUUUUGUUCAAACACUUUCCCAAUCUGUCCGGAAACCAAUUCUAUAACAAAUAACGUUUCCAAUUAUAAUUGCCAACUCCAAACAUUAAUCAACAAUCCAAUAACUGUUGAAGGUGGUAAUCCUAUAUGCUUGUAUCUAAAUGAACGUCUUAGAAAUCCAACUUACAAAAAAAAAUGGACUAAAGUACUAGCAUAUUUAAACCUCUACUAACAGUGAUACAAAAACUAAACAAAUAGCCUUCACAAUGAUAAAGCAAAAUAAUACUUAGAGCCUAUGUUUUCCUUAUUUAACAAGAUAACAAUUUCUGAAUUGAUGUACCACAACUGACAUCUACUAACUACUCCCAACAGUUGGACUGUUUAAUAAUCAAUUACACAGAAAGAUCAUUGUUGAGGCUAUUGAUUAAGCUAAUCAUGUAUUGGAAUUCAAAGGCUACUGAAUGGACAAAUAUUUAGCGAUCCAGCUGUUUAAACAAUCCAGUUUGAUCAACCCAGUUAUACGUAAAAAGUUGAUUACAAUGCACAACCAAGAAAAUCAUAGGAAACUGUCAAAAUAACGAAAAUUAUCAAAAUAAGAAAUCUACAGCAAAAGUUUCAGUUUCAUUUCAUUUUUGUCAACAGGAGAUGAUACAUCGAAACAGGCUCGAGAUGUGUACCUGGAAUUGCAAAGUAACAAAAGGAAAGAGGAGAAUUAGCGGCAAUUAACACUGCUAACCACAACAACAUGAUCAAUAUUUUCAAGCAAAAUCCAAGUGACAACCCAGGAAAGUUCAGCAACCCAGAAAUGUUUCAAAACCACACCAAAAUCAAUAGAUCUACCCCAAGCAACCGAGAAAUGUUUCAAAACCACACCAGAAUCAAUAGAUCUACCCCAGACAACACCAAUAAUGACCAGAAAAACUUGAAAAUGAACACAGAGCACUUCUGGAACUUUCAGCAGACAGACCUCAACCAAAACUAGCUCAAUCAGACCCAAAUUCACUUGAAAUAGACCCAACAAAUCUCUAAAAAACUAAGGUAACAGAAAUUGAACCUAAAACAUGUAAACUAACAACUUUGAGUUGAAAUUCACUAAAUUCUCAAUGGAACAGUAACUUUUCUUUGGAUUUUUGAUGUUUUCUAUUUUUUUUGGUUUUCAAAGAUUUGAAGCUUAGAUCUCAAAUUUCAAAUCUGAAACUUGUAGAGAAAGGCAGGGAAUAUUUUUUGUGAG